rnacentral:misc_RNA from 1 species
AUGAAAUCAUCUUCCAACUCUUGCAGGGAUUUAUUAGCAGAAGCGAUUUGCUUGUUUGAUGUCAUCUUGUCAGAGUCCAUCAAUCCUUUAUAGCUUCUUAUCUCAGCCUGCUUCUCCUUUUCAAGUCUGUCCAUCUCUUCUCUUCGUUUCUUGUCUCUUAACUGAACCUUUCUUUCAGCUCUUUCUGCAGCACUGACUGAUUCUCG